UGCGCAGCUCUGCGGCGCAUUUAAGAGAGCUUGGAUCCGGAAGUCCAUUCUCUUGCCUUGGAGGAGACACAACGAUGAGCAGAGACGAUCGCUGCUCCGCAUAACAUGAGAAAACUAAAGAAGACCGCAUCAUGUUUAGUCUUCAUUACGACGGUGUGUGGAUGAAGAUGGAACGUUUUAUCUGCGAUUGGUACACUUGAUGUCAAGUCACUAUUGUGUACCACAGAUGGCCAAAUAUUGGUUUUCACCAUGUGGACCUUAAGCUGCUUCAGGAGUCACUGUGUAGUCAGGGACAUGCACCUGAUUUAAUCCUGUUGAUCUGGAGAUGAGCGGUUGGUGCAUCAGUGGAACAAAACACGGUGUCCGCUCCGUCUUAUGUGGUUUCGGGAGCUGUUGGCUGAUCAGACAGUCUUGUGGGGUAGCCUAAUUUGAAAGUGUUGCUGGAGCUGAUGGAUCACCAGUUAGAGGAAAUCUGGAGAUUUGCCUUUUUUUUUUUUUUUUUUUU